UUCAGUUUUUCCAAAAAUCAUGGCAUGCAAGACAGCAAAAGAAGCUUGAGAUAGAUUAAAAGUGGAGUAUUAAGGAAGCGACAAAACCAAGCAAAUGUAGAUUUUGAAUCUGAAAAGGGAUUUUUGAAGCUUUAAGCAUGAAAGAAGAUGAAUCUGUCAGCAAAUACUCUAACAGAAUUUCUUUUAUAGUCAAACAAAUCUACUUACUUGGUGAGAAUUUUUCAUACAGCAAAAUUGUGGAAAAAGUUAUCGUGACAUUUCUUGAAAGGUUUGAAUCCAAAAUUUCUUCUCUAAAAGAGUCCAAAGACCUCAACAAUAUUUCAAUGGUUGAAUUGAUAGGUGGUCUUCAAGCACAAGAACAAAGGAGGGUUCUGCGGCAAGAAAAAAAUUACUGAAGGAGUCUUUCAUGCACAAAAUCAUCAAGGAAAUAAAGACAAACAACACUCUUCCAAGAAGCUAAAAGAAAAAAAUGAAAGCUGUGAUGGCAAGAGAAAAUUUGUUCCCUGUAAGCACUGUAAAAAAACCACUCAUAUGGAGAAAUAUUGUUGGUGGAGGUUUGAUGCAAUAUGUGACAAUUGCAAACAGUUUGGACACAUUACUAAAGUGUGCAAAAGUAAAGUCAAAGGUCCUAAAAGUAGUUUAUAAGUACAAGUAACUGAGUCAGAAAUCCAGGAGGAGAAACUCUUUGAUGCCUCAUGUUUUCACAGCAUAAAUACCGACAAUGUCUGGCUCUUUGGCAACAGAUGUACAAGCCAUAUGACAUUUAAUGCAGCGAUCCUCAAAACUUUUGAUAAAAACUUCAAAACUACUAUGAGAAUUGGUAACGGAGAACUUCUUGAAGUAAAAGGCAAAGGUACAGUUGAAGUAAGAACUUCUACAGGUAUUAAACUCAUCGAUGAUGUUUUAUACGUUUCUGAACUCAAUCAAAAUUUGUUAAGUGUUGGGCAAAUGUUGGAGAAGGGUUAUUCUCUUGAGUUUAAAAAUAAAAACUAUACUAUCUUUUGAUCAUGAUAGGGUUGAGUUGUUUUGUGUGAAAAUGAAGGAGAAGUUUUACUGUGGAAUGGAAUUUGGAUAAAACUUAUGCAGGUGCAGAGUUGAAUGAUUCAAUUUUAUGACAUAAACGAUUUGACACUUCAAUCAUUGGAGUUUAACUAAACUCAUAAAAUAGAAACUUGUUCAAAAUAUGGCAGAAAUCGCAACUUAACCCCAUGAUUGUGAUGCUUGUCAAUUGGGAAAGAAAGCAAAACUAUCAUUUCCAAAAGGUCAAGCUUGGAGGGCUUCCCAAAAGUUACAACUUGUACACAUCGAUGUGUGCAGACUCAUAAUUGUUCUAUCAAUGAAUGGUAAUCGAUACUUUCUUCUCUUUAUUGAUGAUUUUUCUAAAAUGUGUUGGGUCUAUUUUCUCAAAACUAAAAGUGAAGUUUAUGCUAUUUUUCAAUAAUUUAAAAAUUAUGUUGAAAACCAAAGUAAUUUGAAGAUUAAAACGUUCAGAUCUGACAAUGGCACAGAGUACAACUCUAGCCAAUUUGAUAAAUUUUGCAGAGAUGAAGGGAUUGAACAUCAAUUAACUGUAACUUAUACACCUCAACAAAAUGGUAUAAGUGGAAGGUAGAACAGGAUCGUGAUGGAGAUGGCUAGGUGUCUAAUCUUUGAGAAAAUUUACUAAAACAUUUUUAAGCUGAAGCUGUAAAUAUUUCGGUGUAUCUUUUAAAUACGUUACCUACCAAAUCUCUCAAAGACAAAACUCCAUGUGAGGCUUGGCAUGAUAUGAAGUUGUCGAUGCAUCAUCUUAGAGUAUUUGAUUGUAUUUGUUUUUAUCAAAUUCCACAACAAAAAAGGGACAAGCUUGAUAAAAGAGCUAGAAAAAGAAAUUUUUGUUGGUUACAACUUCAUCACAAAGGAGUACAAAAUUUAUAAUUUGAAAACUAACAAAAUUGUUGUGAGCAGAGAUGUUCAAUCCAAUGAAAUGACGGUUUGGAAUUGGGAGAAUCUUGAGGAUGUGCAAACUAAAGUUCUCAAUGAUGAACCAAACCAAUUAUAGGUUUUAGUAGAUUUUGAAACUAUUGAUGAUGAACCCAUUAGAGGUACCAGAACCUUACAAGAAAUAUAUCAACAGUGCAAUUUUGUUGUCUUAGAACAUAGCAAUUUCUAUGAGGCAAAAACUUCAUCAGCUUGGAGGAAAGCAAUGUAGAAGGAGAUUGAAAUGAUCAACAAAAAUAAGACAUGGCUGCUUGUUGAAAGACCUAAAGACCAAAAAAUAAUUAGAGUCAAAUGGGUUUUUAAAACCAAGCUUAAUCUUCAUGGCUCAAUCUACAAACACAAAGCAAGGCUUGUGGUUAAGGGAUAUGCGCAACAACAUGGAGUCGAUUACCAAGAAAUAUUUGCUCCAGUUGCUACGUAUAACAUUAUCAGAAUAAUUUUUGUCUUUGUUGUAUUUAAAAAAUGAAAAAUUCAUCAACUUGAUGUUAAAUCUGCAUUUAUAAAUGGGUUUCUUGAUGAAAAAAUAUAUGUUGGGCAACCUGAUGGUUUUGUAAUUUCUGAAAAAGAAAAUUUGUUUAUCUAUUAAAGAAGAUCCUUUAUGGUCUUAAACAAACUCCAAGAGCUUAGUACAACAGAAUAGACAAUCAUUUAUUGCAGCUCGGGCUCAAGAGAAGUAAUAGUGAAGCAACCUUAUAUAUCAAAGAAGCAAAUGGCAAAAUUUUGGUUGUCUCCCUAUACAUUGAUGACAUGUUAAUAACAGGAGAAGAUCUUGAACUCAUCAAAUCAUUUAAAACUCAAAUGAAGGAGGCUUUCGAAAUAACAGAUUCAUAACUGAUGUAGUAUUUUUUGGACAUGAAAAUGGAGCAAUCAAGAAAUGAAAUUUUCAUAUGUCAAAAGAAAUAUGCAGCAGAAAUCUUGAAGAAAUUUCACAUAGCAGAUUGUAAGCAUAUGGGUAUUCCAAUAUCUAAAUGUAAAACAUUGAAUAAAGAUGAUGGAAAGAAAGUUGAUGAAGGUUUACAUAGAACUCUUAUUGAAAGUCUUUUAUAUCUCACAGCAACUAGACCUUACAUUAUGUUUGCAGUAAGUAUUUUAUCUAGAUAUAUGCAUUCUCCACCUGAAAAACAAUUUUCAGCAGCAAAAAGAAUACUUAGGUACUUGAAAAGUACCAUAAACCUUGGUGUUAUGUAUAAAAAUGCAAAAAAUGAAAAAGUGAAGCUGCUGAGAUAUUCUGACAGUAAUUGGGGAGGCUGUUUAGAUGAUUUCAAAAGCACUUCUAGGAAUUUUUUCUUUUUGGGUUCUGGUAUCUUCACAUGGAGCUCAAAGAAAUAAGAAACAACAACACAAUCAACAACUGAAGUUGAAUAUACUGUUGCUGCCUCUGCUGUGAAUCAAGCUAUCUAGUUAAAGAAACUUUUAAUUGAUCUUGGUUAUCAACAAAAUGGUCCAACUAAAAUCAAAUGUAAUAAUCUUUCUGCGGUUUCAAUUUCAAAUAACUCAGUGUUUCAUGACAGAACAAAACACAUCAAAAUCAAGUUUCAUUUUAUUCGAGAAGUUCAACAAUCCAAUGAAGUGGUACUGAUUCAUUGUUCUUUAGAUAAUCAACAUGUUGAUAUACUUACAAAAACUUUGCCUAAAGAAAGGUUUGAAAUUCUCAUAAAAAAGACUGGUGUCUAUCACAAAAAUGCGGAGGAGUGUUGAACAGCUGAUAUUUUAAUUUCAGCAGAUAAACUUUUGAAAAUUAGAAUUACAGCAGAUAUUUUUUCAAAAAUUAGUUUCAGAUAAAAUCUUUUAAAAAAAGGCCAGAAGAAAAUGAUUGAAAAAAGAUUUUUAAGAUUUUAUCUAAUAUUUUUGAAGUUUUCUAGAUGUAAUAGUGUAGAUAUUGGGCACUAAAAGUAGAAAAUUAGUUCUUUUUUUGUAUAAAUAACUGGUCUUGAAUGAUGGAAAAUAUACUGCAAUUUCCUCCCACAUCUUUCUUUAUCUUUUUGCUAUCAGCUAUUCUUGUUUUUAAACCAACAAUGAUAAACUCAAUAAUAGGAAGAAUUGGCACCUUUUUUUGUCAACUGGUGCACCUAAAUAAUUGUGCUCUCACUUGUUAUAUCUUCGUCCUUCAUAUUUCCAAGAUUAACUUUGCUCAAAACUUUCUUUUUGAGAAAAUAAAUGUAAAUUAAUAAGUCCCCGAGGUCAUGCCACUCAAGAACGUACUGCUAAAAACUUUAUGAUACAAAACAGAAUAUCGGAAAUUGGAGUAAAUUUACUUUUUUUUCGAAAAGAUUGGAGUAGCUUUCCUAUUAAGAAAGAUCUUUCUUCAUACUAGUACCUAAUUUUUUCUUAUUUAUCUCUAUUCUUCUAUUUUCUCAUCUUUAUUCUUCUAAUUUCUAAACUAUACCUAGACAACCUUGUUGUGCAUCACUUUGCAUCAACCUAUGAAUCUUUCAUGGAAUUUUGCUCUAGAUCACUUUGAAAUUACUUUAUAUAUGAUUCCUUACUUUGGACUUCUUCCAGCUCAUGUUUGCUCACCUUGACUUGAUCCACUUCAUUUUCAAAUCGCUAGNNNNNNNNNNNNNNNNNNNNNNNNNNNNNNNNNNNNNNNNNNNNNNNNNNNNNNNNNNNNNNNNNNNNNNNNNNNNNNNNNNNNNNNNNNNNNNNNNNNNNNNNNNNNNNNNNNNNNNNNNNNNNNNNNNNNNNNNNNNNNNNNNNNNNNNNNNNNNNNNNNNNNNNNNNNNNNNNNNNNNNNNNNNNNNNNNNNNNNNNNNNNNNNNNNNNNNNNNNNNNNNNGAAAUAAAAUAAAAUUGAAAAAAUUGAGGCGGAAAACUUUAUGCAACUCAGUUUGCUGGCAAGUAUCAUGGAUCGGCUCAAAUUUGGCACAAAUAUGGCUUGGCUUGGUCUCAAGACUGACUUCAGCUAUGAGAAGCCCCAUAUAUCCUGACUUCUGGUUUCAAGAUCGAUUUCUGGUAGAAGGUAGUCUGAAUUGUGGUAAUUUUAGAUGGGUUAUGGGGCCAAUAAGAUAGAGAUCCAAAAAAACAGAGAUAGUUAAACAUUCGGGCAAAGGUGAAGUAGUUUCCGAGAGAUUUAGCAACCAGAACAGGGAAGGUUGGACAGUAAGUGGCAACUAAUGCGGCAGUGAGGCAGUGUUGGAACUUCAGGUGAUGGUUGUCUUUGUGUUUUCUACUUCUUUUCUGGAGAUCUAGAAGAAAAAGUAGAGAUGCUCAGAUUUUGUUUGGGUAGUUUGAAAGGUGCAAGUUAGACUGUACAGUGAUGAAGUAAGAUUUAUGUUAACAAAUGGUGUAGGUCAAGACAGAGCCCCACGUAAAACUAAUGGAAAAAACUACUAAAGAAAACAAAUGAUGGCAACUAUCUAUAAGGAAUUCAAAUUUCUUAUUUAAUUUACUACCAUUCAUAUAGGCACCAAGCAUACAACCAGAAUAGGAAAACAAAAUAUCCAACAAAGUCAAGAUUCUUAAGCUCCUAAACUAUUCUAUAAACUAGGGUAGAAUAGAAACUAAAUAAUUUUUAACCUCCUAAACUAUUCUAUGUUUCCUAAAUAAGCUAGAUAUCCAAAUAAUAUAUCAAGUAUUAUAAUUCAUUUUGACGUCUUCCAGUCCCGCAUUACAAACCUAUAAAAAUAUGUAGUGAUACUACAUUUUAUCUCCACUAUAAAUAUAUGAGGGUUGCAUUGUCAAGUAUAAGAUACUUCACAUUUUGAUACACGGACAUCAAAGCAACAGCAAAUAUGUGAUGGAGAAGGAGGUGGAUGUAAUAAUCAAUGAAGCGCAUGCUUAACAACAUUGAAAUUCACAGACACCAUACCUCAGGAUAGAGAUACAGAAUGGACACAGUUGUGAACACAAAUCCUGCGAUAGUAUAACAUGAAGGAGGCUUGCCUUUGCCGUGUAAUGGAAUAAGUUAUAAGAUUUCUAGGAGAAGAAAAAGUUGAUGUUUUUUCUUAGAGGAAAUAAAAAUAAUAUCAUAAACAGGACAGCAAGAGGAGGCCACCUGUAUAUACUAGCAGCUUUACAUAUAACUAGAAGAAAAGGAAAUAUCAAUGAGGUUGGUUCCCUAAAUCCUCGCAGCUGCUGAGACAGUGACGAUUAAAUCAAAUACUAAAGGUCUGCAACUAGUGAUCUCCAACACUAGCAAAGGUAGAUAGAUAAAAACCACAUGGUUCCUUCUUUCAAAAUCAUCCAAAGAUGGGCAUCAGAAUGAGGGAAAUGAGCUUCGUCCUGGUUUUGCAAGCCCCCUAUUCUAUCCUAUCACGGCUGUGACAGCUCCAGCCCAAAAUUCUCUGCCUAGCCACCCAACACAAAUCAAGAAAAAAAAGAGUUGAAUCCUAUUAUCUUCUAAACUCCAAGCACCUAAGGAGAAAUAGUUGGGGUACUUGCUCUUUCAAAAGCACAUAACUAAUAAUUUACGAUGAUUCUACUUCUCAAAUUGUUAGAAAUAAAAUUUUUGCCCCAAGAGAUUUCCUGGGAAAAGAAAGUUAUAUAGGGAAAAGCUUCUUGUUUCCAAGUCUACUUCGAAGGGAAUCUAGAGAGAACCUCACCUUUUGAAGAAGAUUCUGGUAAAAAGACUUCAUUAAGAACAAAUCAUUCUCCAAAAAAGGUCAUAAAAGAAUGUCACAAACGCGAGGGUCAAAAUAGCUGGAGGCUGAGAUACAAGGUAACUAAGACCUAUAUAAUCUGCAACAUGCUGAAAAGGUACUGAGUGAUCAACAAGAUGAGAGCCAACAUGUCAGGAAAGUUCAUAAAUGAUCUUAGAAUGGCCAACAAACAGCUAAUCAAGUUGAAAUCAUUCCUCAAUUAUAUAGCAACUUGCAGAAAGAUAAAGCCCAUAAACAAGAGUGGUUUCAGAUGGAAAGUAUGUUAAUAUUUGUAAUGGAAAUCAUAUUUCUCAAAAUGAUUAAAGAUACACCAAAUUAUAAUACAUGCAUUAAAAAAAAAAUAUGAAACGCAAUGCAUGAUGGAAUUUUUCUCAGCACACGAAGCGUGUAGCCAGAAACAAAUACGCAUGUGAUGCAAAUAACAAUACACUCUACCGGUUCUACCAUUAGCAAUAUGAAUCCUAUCAAAGCUGAGAACAGUAUCUGAAUAGUUUAUGCCCACGGCCAUGCACGAAUCAGGACUUUCCAUCUUCUGCCUCUCAAAGCUAAGCAUCGGGGACCCUAGCAUGGAGAUGGAUAACCAUUAACCGUGAAGAAAGACAAUUUAUGGAGCUAAUUAUGUCAACAGUCUUCCAGUGAAAGUUAAUGACAGAUUUUCAACAUAAAAUAGCAAUUAUAGAGCUGAAAAUUAAAAAAUAAAAAUGAAAAUAAAAAUAAAAAUAACAUUUUAAACAGAAUGCUAGGAAAAGUAAAAGACCUUACUUAAACAAAGAGAAAUGAGGGGAAUUCCACCGUACCAAAAGCAAGCAUGGCCGCCAAAUACUUGCUAUCGUAGCUACGCUUCUUGAGCUGCGUGUCAUGUUCGACAGUGCGACAUUGUUGAGUACCCUAAGAAAUCCCCGUUCACAAACGGCGACC
rnacentral:lncRNA from 1 species